rnacentral:lncRNA from 1 species
GGCUUACUGAAUGAAAAAGAGAGCAUUUGAUUCCUUCUUUACACUCUCCGUGGUUAGAAAAUUAUACCCCUUCUCAACAAAAUUCCACAAAUAUGGGGAUAAAAGCAACAUCUUCAUCUUCAUGCUCUAAAACUCAUAAUUUUCUCCCUUGAAAACUAGAAUCAUAGGCUGAGAUUCAGAAUCGUUGCUCGUUAUCUCUGCUAUAUGCGUCAUGUGGCUUUGAUACCACUUGUUAUACAUGCUAAAUUGAAUAAGGGAGAAAAAAAUAAUAAAAGAGAUAAUAAUUGAGUAGCAAAGAUCAAAAGAACAUACUUUAUUUACUUCUUGAUGAUGAUCUUGAAUACAACCAUAGGGUUAUAAGCCCCAAUAACUUGCAGCCUAAGUAAAUUACUUGCUCCCAAAAUAGAAAAUAAACCAAAUAAAGAUAUAAAUAAAGAUAAGUUUUUACCAAAUCAAGAGAAUCCUUUUACAAGAGAAAAUUAUUAAACCAAGAUAAUUUUCUACCAAAUCAAGAGGAGAAUAAUUCUAGAGUAUUCCUCCUCCAAAAGAAAAUUAUUUUGUCAUGCAUUAGUUCCUAACAAGAACACCAUUACAUAUCUCAAGCAUCAGGGAGAGGCAAUUUACAAGACUUCAUAAAUAAAGAAAACUUUUCCCUCCUACUAUGCUGACCUCCUAGGAUCUUCAAUCGAGAGCAACCUACACAUUGACUAGAAGAACUUGUACCAAGAAGCCAACAUUGAUCUUAGCUCUCUGGGGGAACCCUUCAUGGAGGAAGAAAUCAAAGAUGUAGUAUUUGACUUACCAAAAAACAAAUCCAUGGGGCCAGACAAUUUUCCUUCAACCUUCUUCCAAAAGUUUUGAUUUUCUAUAAAGGACGAUCUAUGCAAGCUCUUCAACAUAAUACAUUGAAAUAACAC